GAUGAAGAACGCAGCGAAAUGCGAUAAGUAGUGUGAAUUGCAGAAUUCAGUGAAUCAUCGAAGCUUUGAACGCACAUUGCGCCCCUUGGUAUUCCAUGGGGCAUGCCUGUUCGAGCGUCAUUUGUACCUUCAAGCCUUGCUUGGUGUUGGGUGUUUGUCUCGCCUCUGCGCGCAGACUCGCCUCAAAACAAUUGGCAGCCGGCGUAUUGAUUUCGGAGCGCAGUACAUCUCGCGCUUUGCACUCAGAACGACGACGUCCAAAAGUACAUUUUUACACUCUUGACCUCGGAUCAGGUAGGGAUACCCGCUGAACUUAAGCAUAUCAAUGAGCGGAGGA
rnacentral:misc_RNA from 1 species